rnacentral:tRNA from 1 species
AUCUGUAGUAUAAUAAAGUAUGCUUAGUUUCGGCCUAAGUGGUCCCAUACGGGCAUAGAUA